GUUUUGUCAAGGCUUGGUAAAUGUAUCAUCUUAAGAGGCUUUGUGGGACACCUACGCAUACACACACACACACACACACACACACACACACACACACACACACACACACACACACACACACACACACACACACACACACACACACACACACACACACACACACACACACACACACACACACAAACCGCUGGCACGGACACACCCGCUCACUAGAUUUGAAUAUUGAUUUAGAUUUAUAAACACAGGCACACACCCUGGGUUCUAUGAGUCGUCAUUUGCCUCUCUCUGUCCCGGUGGAAGGCCGGUGUCAAAGGUGGAGGCUGGUCGUAGCUGCUUUAUGAAGUAGCAUCACACGUCUUGCUGCAGUGAGGAAUGAGUUGAUAUGGGAAGGCAACGCUUUUGGCUCCAACAGUAACAAUGCAGCGUCGUGUAUCUCUGGACAGAUUCUGAUCCCAAGAAGAAUCUGUGGAUUAUGACCGAUGGAUUAAUAGGCACGAGACAAAAGACCCCUCCGCAUCUCGUCAGAUGUCAAGUUAUAUGUGUAUUCGUGUGUGUGUGUUUGUGUUCGUGUGCGUGUGUGUGUUUGUGUGUGUGUGAUGGUCGUGCUCGCAGCGACGGUUUGAUGGAAUGGAGCCGAGGUGGAGGAGUCGAGGUGGAGGAGCUGAGGUGGAGGUGUCGAGGUGGAGGAGCUGAGGUGGAGGAGCCGAGGUGGAGCAUCACAGGUGUACCUUCAGGAGUUCGUCACCGAGCAAACAGCCCGCCGCCCCGCGCUGGAACCAACAACCACAAGACUUAUGGAAAACACAAGGACACAUAUAAGUCACGGGGAGACCUGUGUGUGUGUGUUCGUGUGUGUGUGUGUGUGUGUGUGUGUGUGUGUGUGUGUGUGUGUGUGUGAGAGAGACUGUGUGUGUCCUUGUGUUUAUGUCUGUGUGCUUUAAGAAUAGCUUGGAUUCAAUUUGGCAUUUAAAAGAGGUUACUUCAGCAAAAUUGAUCAACGUGCUAUUGCUCCUCUAAAAAUCAACAACAUGGCCAUGUUAUAUUUCUUACACCGUUCUAUUUUUUUUAAAUGUAAUUUCUUUGUGGAUUUAUGAUUCUAGGUUUAUUUCCUUUCUGUAAAGCUGAUAAGAUGUGUUGUGAUUUUUUUUACUGCGUUGAUUUGUAGAAUUAACAUCUUGGCCUCCUCAGCAUCACACAGUCCGUCUCUCUGAAUCCAGUUGAGCAAUUUGUAUGUCUAAUGUUUACAUGAUUGUCCAUAAUAAAUCUGUUUUCUAUUUUGCACUUUCUCCCACUUUCUCGCUCUCUCUACUUCUUCACCCUUUCUAAACUCGCCCCAUCAUCACAAAGAUACACAAAGAUAAACAAAGAUACACCCAUGCA
ensembl:lncRNA